GACGAACGCUGGCGGCGUGCCUAAUACAUGCAAGUCGAACGCAGUGGGGACGGGUGAGUAACACGUGGGUAACCUCCCAUCAGAGGGGAUAACGCUAGGAAACAGGUGCUAAACCGAUACCGAUGGAUGGACCCGCGGUGCUUUAGCUAGUGGGUGAGGUAACGGCUCACCAAGGCCACGAUGCAUAGCGCGCCGGUGGGGGUGAUCGGCCACCGUGUGAUGGGUACACGGCCCAGACUCCAGCGGGUGCCGCACGUGGGAAAUCUGCGGCAUUGGCCGAAAGUCUGACCGAGCAAGUCCGGGUGAUUGAAGAGGUUUUUCGGUGCGUAAACUCCGGUUUUUGGAGAAGCGGUAUCUAACCAGAAAGCCACGGCUAACUACGUGCCAGCAGCCGCGGUAAUUC
rnacentral:rRNA from 1 species